UGGGCUGCCAGUGUGCACUGCCCUGUCCCUUCACUCUCUGCCUUCUUAUCACCUCCCCCACUCUACCUGAGCACUGAUUACGCUCAGGUGUGCAACACGCAGAGGGAGGAGGGCAGAACGAGGAACAGAGAGAGAAAAAACAAGACACACAGAGGCACAUGU